rnacentral:rRNA from 1 species
UAAGCGGAGGAAAAGAAACUAACUAAGAUUGCCUUAGUAAGGGCGACUGAACCGGCAAGAGCUCAAAAUUGGAAUCGAAAAUUCAACGAAUUUUCGAAUUGUAAUCAGGUCCGCCUAAAUACGUAUAUUUACUUAAGCUUGUUGAAUCAAGCGCCAUAGAGGGUGAAAGCCCCGUGUAGUAUUUGUACGAGAAAGGGGGAUUCCAUAAGAGUCGGGUUGCUUGGAACUGCAGCCCUAAGCGGGAGAUAUGAAUCUUCCAAAGCUAAAUAUGGAUGGGAGACCGAUAGCGAACAAGUACUGUGAAGGAAAGAUGAAAAGGACUUUGAAAAGAGAGUGAAAAGAUCUGAAAUCGUUGAGAAGGAAGCGGUAGAAACUGAUGGUCGUACUGAUAGGAUUAUGGGCUGACUCAGUCCAGAGUUCUUACCAAAGCGACGGGCAAAAUCAAGUUAAAUGCAUCAAAAAAGGCUUAGCCGUGUAAGGUGUAUUUAGCUUGAGGGACUAUUGUGAUUUUGCCAAAAUGGUUUUUACUGUCCCGUCUUGAAACACGGACCAAGGAGUCUAAC